rnacentral:rRNA from 1 species
ACGAACGCUGGCGGCGUGCCUAAUACCUGCAAGUAGAACGCUGAAGGAGGAGCUUGCUUCUCUGGAUGAGUUGCGAACGGGUGAGUAACGCGUAGGUAACCUGCCUGGUAGCGGGGGAUAACUAUUGGAAACGAUAGCUAAUACCGCAUAAGAGUAGAUGUCGCAUGACAUUUGCUUAAAAGGUGCAAUUGCAUCACUACCAGAUGGACCUGCGUUGUAUUAGCUAGUUGGUGAGGUAACGGCUCACCAAGGCAACGAUCCAUAGCCGACCUGAGAGGGUGAUCGGCCACACUGGGACUGAGACACGGCCCAGACUCCUACGGGAGGCAGCAGUAGGGAAUCUUCGGCAAUGGACGGAAGUCUGACCGAGCAACGCCGCGUGAGUGAAGAAGGUUUUCGGAUCGUAAAGCUCUGUUGUAAGAGAAGAACGAGUGUGAGAGUGGAAAGUUCACACUGUGACGGUAUCUUACCAGAAAGGGACGGCUAACUACGUG